CCCUAUGGUAAAUUUAUUUUCAGAUGAGCUCUGCGGUUUCUUUCGAGUUCCCGCAGCGUCAAACGUUUUAUUUUUUUCCUUUCAUCAUUGGCACUGACUGCGCAUGUGUGGUGAUUCGGCGUGGUUCUGUCGCGAAAACACGCCAGUACUCCUGAGGCGCAGCAUCAGGGAUGACUGAAGAAAGAAACGGUGGGUGCACGCCUCUUGCCUUUGGUAGCUUCAGCGACGAGGCAACCCCGAGUACAAGCCGUGAAGGCACCGCGGACACAUGAUCUAUUUUGGACGACUACACUUGGAUUUCUUACAAGGCCUGCGCUUACCCAUGGAACGUGCUGAACAUCAGCCUGGUUGACGCCACUUACGUCAAUGGGCUUCCAGACAUCAGCGAUAACGGAAACACCGCACAAUGGCUUCCUGUGUCCAGCAGGGGCGAUAAUGACGCAUACCUCAGUACAAGCCACGCUGGCAUGGAGGAAUCAUCAGCCAUCUUGGAUGACGACGCGAGGAAUGAUACCGGAACCGAGGAAAACGAACUGCAAGAGCUAUGCGGUGCCUGUGGUGUCUGCGGCAAAGCUGACACCAGCCUGCGUGGCUUACACAGACAUGCCACCGAGCACUAUGGCGAUGAAUCCUACAUUUGAGAAGCAUGUUAUCUAACCUCUGUAUAGAUUACGAAGUUAGUAAGCCAUUGCCAGAAGAGCACAAAAGAAAAACGCUACAAAUGCGAAACAUGCGGUAAAUCGUUCGCGCGAUGGGAGCAUCUUAAUGACCACAAACGCACGCAUACAGGCAUUAAACGCCACAUUUGGAAAACAUGUGGUAAAUACUUCGCGUAUAGGAAGGGUCUUAGUGUACAUCAACGCACGCACACAGGUGAAAAACGCAAUGUCUGCCCAAAAUGUAUGAAAUCAUUUCAGCGCAAGCAUCAUCUCAACGAGCAUAUGAACCUGCGUACGGGCGCGAAACCUUUCGUCUGCGAAAUAUGUAGCGAGCCAUUUCGGCACAGCUGGAGUCUCAGGAGGCAUCGCCUCCGCCACGCGGAUGAAUCGCCGCAUCAGUGUGCUGAAUGCGGCGCUAGUUUCGCAGAGAGGAAUCCUCGACGGACAUGUCUGCGAGAUGCAUACGUGCUGUUUGUGUGGAGAUUCCUUUAGCGAUGUUAUUCAACUGGCCACACAUCUCGUAACCCACAGAGAUGGGCAGCCGUAACAAUGAGAUUGGUGCGCAAUCAUCCGAUACUUUUCCGCAGCGCUGACAUUCUUUCAUAGGACUCAGCAACUUACGCUACGAAACGCAUGCGGAAACCAGGUUCUUUCGAAAGAAGUGCGAAACAUCGUAGUGUACUGCAGUGUAAGCGAUGCCAGCUAGCUCUUUGAAAUUAUGAAACAAUACGCUGUCGCAAGAAUUCCUUAGUUCAUGUGCCAAAAAAUUUUAGAUAUCUCGACUAGUGGACGCUAUUCACAUAGUAACUGUGCCAUGAAGACAAACCCGAGUGGGCUGCAAUUUUACGCUUUGUGUAACUUCAGCGCAGAAGUGUUGGCAAAAAAACUUCGACUGCUUGAUCAAUUAUGGCAAUUUUUGGUCCAAGUGUUUUGAUGGUGCUGUAGUUAGCAACCGCUAUUGUGCGUACCACCGUGUUUAAUGAUUCUGCAGUGUCAAUACAAGAAAAUGUGUAGCUGUGAAGAAUUAUUGAACCGAUGGAAGGUUUCUAGUAAAAAUAAGAAGUCACUUCUGUCAUUGCGAUGUUGCUCUGUUGCCUUCAGGAAAAAGUUCGCAGUCAUUUUUGCGACAAUAUUUAGCCAUGGUGUACCCACAACAGUCCAUUGUUUGAAAUUCAGACCACUUAUUCCGUGAUAGCCAAGACACAUGCGAAACAGUGUUGGUUCUUUCAUUGAUGCUUAAGAUCUUUGUUUAACUGCGGAGCCAUUGACUGUUGAGCGAAUUGGUAAUGCAAGAUAAAUAAAAGAAGUGCUAAAUAGACGACUGACGAGAACAAGGUGACAACACAUUUGCCUAUUCCAACUGAAGGUAUAUUAAACAUAACACAAUCUGGGACAGCUGAAAGAACCAUUUGCAAAAAAAAAAAUAAAUAGUAAAGGUGAGUUUCUAGACUGUCCAUACCUUUCUCGUGUAAAGAAACUGAAGGCUUUGCUACACACUUAUCGCGCCUGCAUUUUGGCCAACGAAAGCUUUGUCGAGAUUACUUGCUUUCUUGUUUUUCACCAUGCAAGCACCGUUGCAUGAGUUAUCAGCGGAGGGCACCUACACUCACGGGAGUGCAGAGCCAAGACAGGAUGGCUAGCCUUUCAGUGAAGCUCGAUGGUGCCUCAGGCGAUGAUUAGGGCAGCGGCCAGUUUGGUCGAGGUAACACUUCCCUAAUAAAAAAGGAAACUUGAUAAACGACGCCCAUGCCACGCUUUUACAAUCUGUCCCUGUGCUUGGAAUUGUAUGCGUGUCAUGCAAUAUAAUUGUUCUCGUCUGUUGUUUAUCGAGUGCUCGUUUAAUUAUUUGCAUUUGUUUUUAAUGUCCAAAAGUGUGCCGAUGAUAGCAGUGGCACUGUGCUAAAUUCAAAUCGUUUGCAGUUUUGCUGCAUCAGAAGCUCACUGACUACAACAAGUUUUAGUUAUCGUUGUCUUAUCUUGGAGAAACCUUUAUCAGUUUCAAAGGGGCUGCAGUUUUUAUCUGUUUGGAAGUAGUAUGUUUUUUACUCGCACUGCUCUAGUUACAGCCGUAAAAUCCUUCUACCCUGUUAUGACAAACGUAUUUGUGCGAGCAAUGACAUCUCAGAUUGGACAUGUCUUUUAGGUAUGUGUAUCAUUAACCUUAACUUGACGAAACCUUAGUCGAUAAUAAAGAGAAACUUCUUA